rnacentral:rRNA from 1 species
CCUACGGGGGGCAGCAGUGAGGAAUAUUGGUCAAUGGACGAGAGUCUGAACCAGCCAAGUAGCGUGAAGGAUGACUGCCCUAUGGGUUGUAAACUUCUUUUAUAUGGGAAUAAAAUGUUCCACGUGUGGGAUUUUGUAUGUACCAUAUGAAUAAGGAUCGGCUAACUCCGUGCCAGCAGCCGCGGUAAUACGGAGGAUCCGAGCGUUAUCCGGAUUUAUUGGGUUUAAAGGGAGCGUAGGUGGAUUGUUAAGUCAGUUGUGAAAGUUUGCGGCUCAACCGUAAAAUUGCAGUUGAAACUGGCAGUCUUGAGUACAAUAGAGGUGGGCGGAAUUCGUGGUGUAGCGGUGAAAUGCUUAGAUAUCACGAAGAACUCCGAUUGCGAAGGCAGUUCACUGGACUGCAACUGACACUGAGGCUCGAAAGUGUGGGUAUCAAACAGGAUUAGAUACCCCAGUAGUC